ACUAGGAUCGUCCAUGGAUUUCCCAUUUUCAUUUUGAGGUGAAAUUGCAUACUACGUACAGGGACACCUUUCAUACAGAAGAAUAACAGACACGGACACAUUUAUUACAUUAGUAGAAGAGACAAGCAUUCCAUAGAGGAAGAAUAGAAACUGACACCAUUUACAGAACACAGCAAGAGACAAGGACUACAUUCACACAGAAGAAGAGGAGACAAGGACACCAUUACAUAGAGAAGGAAGAGAAAGGGACACCAUUCACACAGAAAAAGAGACAAAAUCACCAUUGACAUGGAAGAAGACCAGACAGAGACACCGUUCACACAGAAGGAGAAGAGACAAAGAAAACACACGUGUAGGAAAAGAAACAGGAGCCCAAUUCACAAAGGCCUAGAGGAGAGAGAAGAGACGUCUGGCUGCUGCCUUACAGGGUGGUCAGAAACCUUCCUCAACUCCAGGAUUGAAGGCAGCAUAGGAGAAGCAAACAGCUGAUUAUUUCUCCCACACCGCUGAGCCCCAGAUCAAACAGGGAUUCAGCACUGAGAGGCAAAACCAAGAAGGACACUGCUAGAGACAUGGACUGGAGCUGAGCAGACGGAACUGAGGGGGGAGCAGAAAAACUGUUAGGCAGGAGUCAACAGACAAUAAUCAAAAGUUCAAAACUCAGCAGGUACUACGAUCUGGCAAGACCCAGUGAACUUUCAGCAGAAUGACAACUGAUGGACGGAAGGCAACAAGAUUGUGAGGGGAGAGUAAUCAGGACCAGCAUCUGGCACAGUCGCAUUUGCCUGCAGAUGCUGGCAGCUGAUUGGAUGUCCUGGAAAGAUCUUGUAGGAAAUAUCAGAUCUGCCUGUCAAAUAUGAUUAAUGACCACCAGAAAAUCAUUUGAGCAGUUACAGAAAUAUUAACAAGCUGUGAAUACCAUCAUUAAAGGAGACUGCCACUGUCAGUCAGAGUUAUAGGUUAUUUU